rnacentral:rRNA from 1 species
GAUGAACGCUGGCGGCGUGCUUAACACAUGCAAGUCGAACGGAAAGGCCCCAGCUUGCUGUGGUACUCGAGUGGCGAACGGGUGAGUAACACGUGGGUAAUCUGCCCUGUACUUCGGGAUAAGCUCGGGAAACUGGGUCUAAUACCGGAUAGGAAUCACUUGUGGGUGUGUGGUUGGAGAGCUUUUGCGGUAUGGGAUGGGCUCGCGGCCUAUCAGCUUGUUGGUGGGGUAGUGGCUUACCAAGGCGUCGACGGGUAGCCGGCCUGAGAGGGUGUACGGCCACAUUGGGACUGAGAUACGGCCCAGACUCCUACGGGAGGCAGCAGUGGGGAAUAUUGCACAAUGGGCGCAAGCCUGAUGCAGCGACGCCGCGUGGGGGAUGACGGCCUUCGGGUUGUAAACUGCUUUCGUCAGGGACGAAGCGUGAGUGACGGUACCUGGUUAAGAAGCACCGGCUAACUACGUG